UACGAAGGGGGCUAGCGUUGUUCGGAAUUACUGGGCGUAAAGCGCACGUAGGCGGAUCAUUUAGUCAGGGGUGAAAUCCCGGGGCUCAACCUCGGAACUGCCUUUGAUACUGAUGGUCUCGAGUCCGAUAGAGGUGAGUGGAAUUCCUAGUGUAGAGGUGAAAUUCGUAGAUAUUAGGAAGAACACCAGUGGCGAAGGCGGCUCACUGGAUCGGUACUGACGCUGAGGUGCGAAAGCGUGGGGAGCAAAC
rnacentral:rRNA from 1 species